rnacentral:tRNA from 1 species
GCUGGAGUAGCUCAGCGUGUGGCUGUUAACCACAAGGUCGAAGGUUCAACCCCUUCCUCUAGCG